UGGGGAAUAUUGCACAAUGGGGGAAACCCUGAUGCAGCGACGCCGCGUGAGCGAAGAAGUAUUUCGGUAUGUAAAGCUCUAUCAGCAGGGAAGAAAAUGACGGUACCUGACUAAGAAGCCCCGGCUAACUACGUGCCAGCAGCCGCGGUAAUACGUAGGGGGCAAGCGUUAUCCGGAUUUACUGGGUGUAAAGGGAGCGUAGACGGUAUGGCAAGUCAGAAGUGAAAGCCCGGGGCUCAACCGCGGGACUGCUUUUGAAACUGUCAAACUAGAGUGCCGGAGAGGUAAGCGGAAUUCCUAGUGUAGCGGUGAAAUGCGUAGAUAUUAGGAGGAACACCAGUGGCGAAGGCGGCUUACUGGACGGUAACUGACGUUGAGGCUCGAAAGCGUGGGGAGCAAACAGG
rnacentral:rRNA from 1 species